rnacentral:rRNA from 1 species
ACGGGAGGCAGCAGUGGGGAAUAUUGCACAAUGGGGGAAACCCUGAUGCAGCGACGCCGCGUGAGUGAAGAAGUAUUUCGGUAUGUAAAGCUCUAUCAGCAGGGAAGAAAAUGACGGUACCUGACUAAGAAGCCCCGGCUAACUACGUGCCAGCAGCCGCGGUAAUACGUAGGGGGCGAGCGUUAUCCGGAAUUAUUGGGCGUAAAGAGUACGUAGGUGGUUUGGUAAGCGUGAGGUGAAAGCCCGGGGCUCAACUCCGGUAAGCCUUUCGAACUGCCAGACUUGAGUGCAGGAGGGGAAAGUGGAAUUCCUAGUGUAGCGGUGAAAUGCGUAGAUAUUAGGAGGAACACCGGUGGCGAAGGCGACUUUCUGGACUGUAACUGACACUGAGGUACGAAAGCGUGGGGAGCAAACAGGAUUAGAUACCCUGGUA